GUCUUUUUGAUUAUAAUUUAAAGUCUGACCUGCCCAAUGAUGUAUUAAAUGGCCGCGGUAACUUGACCGUGCUAAGGUAGCAUAAUCAUUAGUUUUUUAAUUGAAAGCUGGAAUGAACGGUUGGACGAGAAAAUAACUGUCUCAAUUUAAUUGAAUAUAGAAUUUUAUUUAUAAGUAAAAAAGCUUAUAUGUAUUUAAAAGACGAGAAGACCCUAUAGAAUUUAAUAUUUUUGUAUAUUAAUAUUUUUUAGAGUUAGUAAAUGUUGAUAUAUUAAAAUAUUUUGUUGGGGUGAUGGAAAAAUUUAAUAAACUUUUUUUAAUAAUUUUAAAUCAUGAAUUAAUGAUUGGUUGAUCCGUUUGUUACGAUUAUAAGAUUAAAUUACCUUAGGGAUAACAGCGUAAUUUUUUUUUAGAGUUCUUAUCAAAAAAAGAGUUUGCGACCUCGAUGUUGGAUUAAAAUGAACUUUUGGUGUAGGGGCUAAAAGGUUAGGUCUGUUCGACCUUUAAAAUUUUACAUGAUCUGAGU
rnacentral:rRNA from 1 species